CACGUAGGCGGCGCAGCAAGUCAGGGGUGAAAUCCCGGGGCUCAACCCCGGAACUGCCCUUGAAACUGCAGUGCUAGAAUCUUGGAGAGGCGAGUGGAAUUCCGAGUGUAGAGGUGAAAUUCGUAGAUAUUCGGAAGAACACCAGUGGCGAAGGCGACUCGCUGGACAAGUAUUGACGCUGAGGUGCGAAAGCGUGGGGAUCAAACA
rnacentral:rRNA from 1 species